GAGGACUAGCAGUUCAUCAGCAACUCCUCAUUUCCAGCCAAGCGCUCCUCGGGGACCCAGCACGCGAGGCUGGAUACGCUGCGCCCCCCGCCCCUCCAUUGCUCCCAAGGGAAAAUUAAUUUCUUGCUCUUUUUUUCCAGGCCCCUCAGCAACUGGCGCCGCGCGACCUCCCGCACGGGGCAGGGCACUAGUUUCUAGAAGGAUAUGCGGUUUAUCCUGCAGGCCACCUCCUUUCAAGACGGGCUUCUCUUAAGGAGCAGGGGAGAGAGGUGUGGAAGAGUAACCACCAGCUUCAACCGUGCCCGUGAGGACAGCACCCUGGGUGAUGACAGAAUCACGAGACGGAAGGAAGCCGGGGCUUGGAUGAUCUCAAAGGAGCAGCACCAUCUACUUGGCCCCAGGACGUCUGCUUGGCUAUUAGGUGAAAAAGAAAUUUCUAUCCGGCCUGAGCCAUUAUGUUUUGGCUCUCUUGGCUUAAGCUGUAUGCUCACUGUUACAGCAAGUUGUGGCCAUAACUAUUCUCCUUACUCUCUUAAUGUCUCCUUAGUAUCUCCUCCUGCUCUUUGGAGGACCUAGGUCGGAAGUGAAUAUCUUGACUUCCGGCCCUGCUUCAUGUUCCCAUGCCGAUGUUUGUGGACACUGACCUCUUGUUCCGAUGCCCGUGUGCCCUAUGAACACUCUGACCGUAUCUUUCUGAAUCAAAUAGUGAGAUACAGAUGUGUCUGCAGAAACGAUGAAGGUGACGCAGUUCUGAGCCAGGCAUCUGCCGUCCUCCAAGUGCCCAUCCGAAUCGCCAGGCUACCUCAGGGUGGCACUCGGGCCGUCUCAUCUCUCUGACCCUCAGUGGAUUCUGCUGUAACCGGCAGAUGAGGGUAGUGCCUACCACGAGGAGUCACGGCAAGGAUUCAGUCAAAAAUGUAGACUGAGGCGCGUCCGGGUGGCUGAGUCAGAUGAGCGUCCGACUUGGGCUCGGGUCCCGAUCUCGUGGCUCACGAAUGCGGGAGCCGGAGCCCUGCCUCAGGCUCCCUGCUGUCAGCGUGGAGCCCACUCCGGAUCCUCUCUCUGUCCCUCGCUCUCUGCCCCUCCCCCACUAGCGUCUGCACACACACACACACACACACACUCUCUCUCAAAUAAAUAAACAUCUGAAAAAAAUGCAGAUUGAGAAUGUAGCAUGGGACCGGGA